UGGCCGUGUUGGGAACACGGUUUGGUGUUCCUAGUCGUGUUAAUCUCUGUGGUCGUGCUCCCUAAUGCCUAUUCUUCUUUGAUGUCUAAUGCACCCAAAAUGGUCGUGUUGGGAACACGGCCAGUGUUGAAACCAACACGGCCAUGUUCAGCUUCCUCAUGCUCGUACUUAGCUUAUUUCGGCAGCUUUGACGUCCAAUUAU
rnacentral:lncRNA from 1 species